GAUUGAACACCGGCGGCAUGCUUUACACAUGCAAGUCGAGCGGCAGCGCGGGGGCAACCCUGGCGGCGAGCGGCGAACGGGUGAGGAAUACAUCGGAACGUGUCCCGUAGUGGGGGAUAGGCUCGGCGAAAGCCGGAUUAAUACCGCAGUAUGCUCUACGGAGGAAAGCCGGGGAUCUGUUACAGGACCUGGCGCUAGUGGGAGCGGCCGAUGUCCGAUUAGCUAGUUGGUGAGGU
rnacentral:rRNA from 1 species